GAGAGAGGCAAAGCAAGAAAGAGAAUUAAGAUGGAACUCCACUCCACCAUCCAUGGGCUUCCCAGCUCUGCUCAGAACACUCGCCUAAACUCCAUGUAAUAAUCAUGGUUGUGAUGUCCUGUCCAUCUCCUCCAACAGCCUGAAGGGGGCUACACUCCCAUUUGCUACAGCUGAAGACACUGGCCCUUAGCUUGGGGAGUAUGCAUGCAACAAAGAAGCAGUGUUUGGCACCACUAAGCAAUCAUUAAGUUAUC